CUACUGCUUGUUUUCUGGUGAACAUGUUUUUCAGAAACAAUAUGGUGGAUUUGUUGUAAUUGGGCAGUGGCCAGACAACCGUAGAGAUGGAAUCCACAGAUGUUGAGGUUUUUCUUGUCUCACCAUUCUACUAAUUCCAUCUCACAAUU
rfam:Medicago truncatula strain A17 chromosome 3, whole genome shotgun sequence.